rnacentral:rRNA from 1 species
CACGUAGGGCGCGAGCGUUGUCCGGAAUUAUUGGGCGUAAAGAGCUCGUAGGCGGCCUGUUGCGUCCGCUGUGAAAACCCGGAGCUCAACUCCGGGCCUGCAGUCGAUACGGGCGGACUCGAGUUCGGCAGGGGAGACUGGAAUUCCUGGUGUAGCGGUGAAAUGCGCAGAUAUCGGGAGGAACACCGGUGGCGAAGGCGGUUCUCUGGGCCUUACCUGACGCUGAGGAGCGAAAGCGUGGGGAGCGAACAGG